rnacentral:rRNA from 1 species
UACGUAGGUGGCAAGCGUUGUCCGGAUUUACUGGGAGUAAAGGAUGCGUAGGCGGAUGUUUAAGUGAGAUGUGAAAUACCCGAGCUCAACUUGGGUGCUGCAUUUCAAACUGGAUAUCUAGAGUGCAGGAGAGGAAAGCGGAAUUCCUAGUGUAGCGGUGAAAUGCGUAGAGAUUAGGAAGAACACCAGUGGCGAAGGCGGCUUUCUGGACUGUAACUGACGCUGAGGCAUGAAAGCGUGGGGAGCAAACAGG